GGGCUCACUGUGCUGGUUUCUACGCGUCACAUGCACACGGUAGGUGCAUCAACUUCGACUUGCUCCCCGGAGGUUUCGAAGCCCGAGAAGUACCAGCAGAGAGUGAUCACACAGCUUUUUUCCUUAAUAUCCAAGUGACUACGUGGAUAUUAAAAGAACGAGAGAACGGGCACUCCUGUAGCCCGUCCCUGGCAUGCAGCCUGUGCAGUCCCUGCCGUGGGCAGCAGAGGGGCCUCAUCUGGGAAGAGGAGGACACUGAGGCGGGGGGACAGCCCUCAGCAGGUGAGGGCGGGGAUCAUGACCUCUCAGAGUGACGUCAUGCCAACGUCACUGGCUGCAAGCCGCAGGUGUUCACCUCCGGGUAAACAAGCACAGGGAAGCAAACCCUGGCCUGUAUGCUCCCAGAGCCCGGGGAGGGGACAGCCUGUCAAAGUCCAGAAGGGCCGUGACUUAUGCGACUUCAACGCACACGUCCCUGGGUCCCUCCCCCGUGUCACCAGCAGGGCCGUCCCGGGACAGCUGAAGCAGGGAGGGAGUUUGGAACAGUAAGCUAUUUCAGGUAACGCUUUAUGUUGCCAGACCAGCCAUAGCAGCACUGCACACUGUCACUUUUUAUAAUGUUUGCCUAUAAACUUUCCCGUGUGGUUUUUGAAAUGGCGCCCAAAUGCAAACAGGGAACAGAUGGGAAGCCCGCGGCUCGCCCCGUCCGAUCGCCUGCUGGAGGGUGGACGGCAGGUUGACACGGUCCGGGGCCAACAAAGCGGCGAAGGCCGGCGGGAUGGUGACGUCGCACUUCACAAGCUGGGCGCUCCCACGGGAACCGUCACGCCAGCACUGGGAGCAGAGCAGUCAACCAGCCUCGGGCUUCCUGGUGCUGCCCUCCCUCCGCCACCCUGUACCAGAGGAACAGAUAUCACUGCUGUGGGCCUGCCAAGGUCCUGAGACAGCAGCGCACAAAAUAAAGCUGCAAAUGUCACUGCAAUGUCACAGUGCGCGACACACAGGGCGGUAAGUGGCGGCUGAGCCUGUCUGUUCCGGUUAGCCUCGACUCACCCUCCCGCUCUUUAAGAUGGCCUGAAGCGGCCACGCCACGGUCCCAGUACGAAGUUUUAACUGGCCGAUACCCAAUUUUCUGUCCAUGGGAAUUGGAAUACCAACCCCCCUCAUACACACCGCUGUCCUGAAGCAUUUUUACAAGCUGGACUUGGGGGAGGCUGGGCGGUCGAGACGUCGGGCAUUUACAGCACAGCUUUUCAGUAACCCGGAGGGGCCGAAGGCCCAGAUCAUUCUGCCCGGCACCAAAUCUCACCAACAGAAAGACACAAAGGUACCGGGGUCCCCACAAGGAAGUCAGAAAUGACCGCCCCCGCCCCGUGGGCCCUACCCACGGAGGGGGGCGGUGAGGGGGGUCCCGCAGACGCACAGACAGUGAAGGCAGGGGCGGCAGAGAGCGGGCUGUUCCAUCUCAGACAUCCUGAGAGCUUCCCCUUUGCAAGAAGGGACUUGCAGAAGACAAAAAUCCUGUCAUGAAACGGAGGCCUUAUAAGGCAUAGGUACUACUCGUACUUUAAGAGGCAGGAGGGAGAGACAAACACUCUGUGCAAUAUAAGGAUGAAAGUCCUCUGCCUCGAGAAAUACAGCCAACCUACAAACGGGGGACACAAAGAAGUCAGAGCAAUGAGCCGCGGAUACGUAAACAGGCCGAGAGGCUGUAGUUCUCUUCCCGGCCAAUUGUUGGGGUGUCUUACAGACACACGUCAGCACUUAAAACCUCCCCGUCGGCUCCACGGGGGCUGUAACAACCACUAAUAGCUACCUCUGCCACAGUAGCCUGCCUGUUCCAGAAAUUCUGGACUGGCUCACAUUCCUCAUGAUCAGAUGGGAUAAUGGCAUAUGUUUCCAAUAUGGCAACCAUUAAAAAUUAUAUAUUUAGGCACA